rnacentral:rRNA from 1 species
AGUGAACGCUGGCGGUAGGCCUAACACAUGCAAGUCGAACGGCAGCACAGUAAGAGCUUGCUCUUACGGGUGGCGAGUGGCGGACGGGUGAGGAAUACAUCGGAAUCUACUUUUUCGUGGGGGAUAACGUAGGGAAACUUACGCUAAUACCGCAUACGACCUACGGGUGAAAGCAGGGGAACUUCGGACCUUGCGCGAUUGAAUGAGCCGAUGUCGGAUUAGUUAGUUGGCGGGGUAAAGGCCCACCAAGGCGACGAUCCGUAGCUGGUCUGAGAGGAUGAUCGGCCACACUGGAAGUGAGACACGGUCCAGACUCCUACGGGAGGCAGCAGUGGGGAAUAUUGGACAAUGGGCGCAAGCCUGAUCCAACCAUACCGCGUGGGUGAAGAAGGCCUUCGGGUUGUAAAGCCCUUUUGUUGGGAAAGAAAAGCAGCAGGUUAAUACCCCGCUGUUCUGACGGUACCCAAAGAAGAAGCACCGGCUAACUUCGUG